CGUAGGGUCCGAGCGUUGUCCGGAAUUAUUGGGCGUAAAGAGCUCGUAGGCGGUUUGUCGCGUCUGCUGUGAAAUCCCGAGGCUCAACCCCGGGCCUGCAGUGGGUACGGGCAGACUAGAGUGCGGUAGGGGAGACUGGAAUUCCUGGUGUAGCGGUGAAAUGCGCAGAUAUCAGGAGGAACACCGGUGGCGAAGGCGGGUCUCUGGGCCGUAACUGACGCUGAGGAGCGAAAGCAUGGGGAGCGAACAGG
rnacentral:rRNA from 1 species